GUGUCCGCUCGCAGAUCCAGCUGGUGGAGUCUGGAGGGGAUGUGAAAAAGCCUGGAGACUCUCUCCGCCUCUCCUGCAAAGCCUCCGGCUUCACCUUCAGCAGCUACGAAAUGAGCUGGGUUCCCCUAGGCUCCCGGAAAGGGGCUCGACGCUGGGUCCGUCUGGAGCGGGUCUCCAGGGCAGAGUACAUGGGAAAGAGUUCACACGACACCGAUUCAGCGAAACAAGGGCCAUUCAUUGCCUCCCGAGACAAUCCCAACAACCGGCUGUAUUUACAAACGAGCAGCCGGAGACCCGAGGACACAGGCCGGAAUCACUGUGUGAGAGACUAG